GUGGAGAGAGAUACUGUGGACUGUAUGUGACGCCCUUUUCUUUUUGUCCCUAUGAAAAAGCAUAAGUUUGAGUUUCAGUGAGCACUGACUCCUGCAGCUGUGGAGAGAGAUACUGUGGACUGUAUGUGACGCCCUUUUCUUUUUGUCCCUAUGAAAAAGCUGGUGAAUAAAUCCUCCUCAACUCGAA